GGCUCGUUCGUCUAUCGGGUCGAGGACAUCGGCCCUUCAAGCCGAAAAGGCGGGUUCGACUCCCGCACGAGCUA
rnacentral:tRNA from 1 species